GUCGUGAGAUGUUGGGUUAAGUCCCGCAACGAGCGCAACCCUUAUCCUGUGUUGCCAGCGCGUAAUGGCGGGGACUCGCAGGAGACUGCCGGGGUCAACUCGGAGGAAGGUGGGGACGACGUCAAGUCAUCAUGCCCCUUACGUCCAGGGCUGCAAACAUGCUACAAUGGCCGGUACAAUGGGCUGCGAACUCGCGAGGGUAAGCGAAUCCCUUAAAGCCGGUCUCAGUUCGGAUCGGAGUCUGCAACUCGACUCCGUGAAGCUGGAGUCGCUAGUAAUCCCGGAUCAGCAUUGCCGGGGUGAAUACGUUCCCGGGCCUUGUACACACCGCCCGUCACACCACGAAAGUCGGCAACACCCGAAGCCGGUGGCCUAACCGCAAGGAAGGAGCCGUCGAAGGUGGGGUCGGUGAUUGGGGUGAAGUCGUAACAAGGUAGCCGUACCGGAAGGUGCGGCUGGAUCACCUCCUUUCUAAGGAGUAGCUCUUGCCUAAAGCCAACAUUCGUUGGUGGAACGGUAAGUGCUCCUAGGUUGAUCACUAACUAGUUGGCUGUCUGGUGCGUCAGCAAAAUCGUAGGUUCGCCUCUUUAGCUGGCAAAGCAACAGCUUGACUAUUCUCUGUUCCGUUUUGAAGGAGUGCCUUAGUGGCCUCGUUCAAACCCCAACGCCUCUCUCGAGUCGAUUUUUCGGCAUCGGGCGGGGGCGUUGUUGCGUCCAACGUGUUUCGCGUUGUUCGCAUGCUCUUUGAGAAUUCCAUAGCGAGCACGAGCAUCUUUGUUCUCCAAGAUACAAAGAGUCAACGGUGGAUGCCUUGGCGUCUAGAGCCGAAGAAGGACGUGGGUGACUGCGAAAAGUCACGGGGAGCUGUCGACCAAGCGUUAUAUCCGUGAAUGU
rnacentral:sRNA from 1 species